CCCCCCCCCCGGGGCCACCAGAUCAGGCUUGGCUGGUGGCCAAGGAUGAGCGGGGAGGGGAUGGCGAGGGGCGAGCAGGGAUUCGGCGGGGAUCGAGGUGGGAUUGCGGCAAGGUGGGAUCGCGGCGAGGUGGGAUCACGGUGAGGUGGGAUCACGGUGAGGUGGGAUCACGGUGAGAUGGGAUCACGGCGAGGUGGGAUCACGGUGAGGUGGGAUCACGGCGAGGUGGGAUCACGGCGAGGUGGGAUCACGGCGAGGUGGGAUCACGGCGAGGUGGGGUCCCGGCGAGGUGGGAUCACGGUGAGGUGGGAUCACGGUGAGGUGGGAUCACGGCGAGGUGGGAUCACGGCGAGGUGGGAUCACGGCGAGGUGGGAUCACGGUGAGGUGGGAUCCCGGUGAGGUGGGAUCACGGUGAGAUGGGAUCACGGCGAGGUGGGAUCACGGCGAGGUGGGAUCACGGCGAGGUGGGAUCGCGGCGAGGUGGGAUCGCGGCGAGGUGGGGUCCCGGUGAGGUGGGAUCACGGCGAGGUGGGAUCACGGCGAGGUGGGAUCACGGCGAGGUGGGAUCACGGUGAGGUGGGAUCACGGUGAGAUGGGAUCGUGGCGAGGUGGGAUCACGGCGAGGUGGGAUCACGGCGAGGUGGGGUCCCGGUGAGGUGGGAUCACAGCAAGGUGGGAUCACGGCGCCCGUCGGGAGCGGCGAAUCCCAGUUUAGAGCUCCCGGUUCCUCACUGGGAUCCUCCUGGCGCCGUGACCCGGCCCCAUCCCAUUCCCAGCGUUCCCA